CCUACGGGAGGCAGCAGUAGGGAAUCUUUCACAAUGGGCGCAAGCCUGAUGGAGCAACGCCGCGUGCAGGAUGAAGGCCUUCGGGUUGUAAACUGCUUUUAUAAGCGAGAAAUAUGAUGGUAACUUAUGAAUAAGGCUCGUCUAACUACGGUCCAGCAUCGGCGGUCAUACGUAGGAGCCGAGCAUUAUCCGGAGUGACUGUGUGUAAAGAGUUGCGUUGGUGGCAUAAUAAGUAGAGAGGGGAAUCUUGUGGCUCAACCAUUCAGACUAUUAGCUAAACUGGUAAGCUCGAGAACGUUAGGGGUAACUGGAAUUUGUAGUGUAGGAGUGAAAUCCGUAGAUAUUAGAAGGAACACCAAUAGCGUAGGCAGGUUACUGGGACGGUUCUGACACUAAGGCACGAAAGCGUAGGGAGCAAACGGGAUUAGAUACCCGUGUAGUC
rnacentral:rRNA from 1 species